UAGACUGUGAACUGAAGGUAAUCACAUAUCCAGCACUGAAUAGGGGACAUUUUGAAUAUGCUGUUGUCCAAACUUAAAUAUAAAGGUAAUACAGAUAAGAGUGUGUGUGUGUGUGUGUGUGUGUGUGUGUGUGUUUCCCUGCCUGGUGGCUCUGAGAUAUUUGUCUAC
rnacentral:sRNA from 1 species